GCUAAUACCGGAUAAUAUUUUGAACCGCAUGGUUCAAAAGUGAAAGACGGUCUUGCUGUCACUUAUAGAUGGAUCCGCGCUGCAUUAGCUAGUUGGUAAGGUAACGGCUUACCAAGGCAACGAUGCAUAGCCGACCUGAGAGGGUGAUCGGCCACACUGGAACUGAGACACGGUCCAGACUCCUACGGGAGGCAGCAGUAGGGAAUCUUCCGCAAUGGGCGAAAGCCUGACGGAGCAACGCCGCGUGAGUGAUGAAGGUCUUCGGAUCGUAAAACUCUGUUAUUAGGGAAGAACAUAUGUGUAAGUAACUGUGCACAUCUUGACGGUACCUAAUCAGAAAGCCACGGCUAACUACGUGCCAGCAGCCGCGGUAAUACGUAGGUGGCAAGCGUUAUCCGGAAUUAUUGGGCGUAAAGCGCGCGUAGGCGGUUUUUUAAGUCUGAUGUGAAAGCCCACGGCUCAACCGUGGAGGGUCAUUGGAAACUGGAAAACUUGAGUGCAGAAGAGGAAAGUGGAAUUCCAUGUGUAGCGGUGAAAUGCGCAGAGAUAUGGAGGAACACCAGUGGCGAAGGCGACUUUCUGGUCUGUAACUGACGCUGAUGUGCGAAAGCGUGGGGAUCAAACAGGAUUAGAUACCCUGGUAGUCCACGCCGUAAACGAUGAGUGCUAAGUGUUAGGGGGUUUCCCGCCCCUUAGUGCUGCAGCUAACGCAUUAAGCACUCCGCCUGGGGAGUACGACCGCAAGGUUGAAACUCAAAGGAAUUGACGGGGACCCGCACAAGCGGUGGAGCAUGUGGUUUAAUUCGAAGCAACGCGAAGAACCUUACCAAAUCUUGACAUCCUUUGACAACUCUAGAGAUAGAGCCUUCCCCUUCGGGGGACAAAGUGACAGGUGGUGCAUGGUUGUCGUCAGCUCGUGUCGUGAGAUGUUGGGUUAAGUCCCGCAACGAGCGCAACCCUUAAGCUUAGUUGCCAUCAUUAAGUUGGGCACUCUAAGUUGACUGCCGGUGACAAACCGGAGGAAGGUGGGGAUGACGUCAAAUCAUCAUGCCCCUUAUGAUUUGGGCUACACACGUGCUACAAUGGACAAUACAAAGGGCAGCGAAACCGCGAGGUCAAGCAAAUCCCAUAAAGUUGUUCUCAGUUCGGAUUGUAGUCUGCAACUCGACUACAUGAAGCUGGAAUCGCUAGUAAUCGUAGAUCAGCAUGCUACGGUGAAUACGUUCCCGGGUCUUGUACACACCGCCCGUCACACCACGAGAGUUUGUAACACCCGAAGCCGGUGGAGUAACCUUUUAGGAGCUAGCCGUCGAAGGUGGGACAAAUGAUUGGGGUGAAGUCGUAACAAGGUAGCCGUAUCGGAAGGUGCGGCUGGAUCACCUCCUUUCUAAGGA
rnacentral:rRNA from 1 species